GCCAUGGUGGUGGAAUGGUAGACACCGGGGACUUAAAAUCCCCUGCCGCAAGGCGUGCGGGUUCGAGUCCCGCCAUCAGCA
rnacentral:tRNA from 1 species